UACACUCCUGCGGGAGGCAGCAGUGGGGAAUUUUGGACAAUGGGCGAAAGCCUGAUCCAGCAAUGCCGCGUGAGUGAAGAAGGCCUUCGGGUUGUAAAGCUCUUUUGUCAGGGAAGAAACGGUGAAAGCUAAUAUCUUUUGCUAAUGACGGUACCUGAAGAAUAAGCACCGGCUAACUACGUGCCAGCAGCCGCGGUAAUACGUAGGGUGCAAGCGUUAAUCGGAAUUACUGGGCGUAAAGCGUGCGCAGGCGGUUUUGUAAGUCUGAUGUGAAAUCCCCGGGCUCAACCUGGGAAUUGCAUUGGAGACUGCAAGGCUAGAAUCUGGCAGAGGGGGGUAGAAUUCCACGUGUAGCAGUGAAAUGCGUAGAUAUGUGGAGGAACACCGAUGGCGAAGGCAGCCCCCUGGGUCAAGAUUGACGCUCAUGCACGAAAGCGUGGGGAGCAAACAGGAUUAGAUACCCUGGUAGUCCCA
rnacentral:rRNA from 1 species